rnacentral:rRNA from 1 species
UACGGAGGAUCCAAGCGUUAUCCGGAUUUAUUGGGUUUAAAGGGUGCGUAGGCGGCUUUUUAAGUCAGGGGUGAAAACUUGCGGCUCAACCGUAAGCUUGCCUUUGAUACUGAGGAGCUUGAAUACACUUGAGGUAGGCGGAAUGUGACAAGUAGCGGUGAAAUGCAUAGAUAUGUCACAGAACACCAAUUGCGAAGGCAGCUUACUAAAGUGAGAUUGACGCUGAGGCACGAAAGCGUGGGGAGCGAACAGG